rnacentral:tRNA from 1 species
GGUCCAUUGGUCUAGUGGUAUGAUUCUCGCUUAGGGUGCGAGAGGUCCCGCGUUCGAGUCGCGGAUGGGCCC